GUAGCAAGGAACUCUAUCAAAUGACGCAUCAUCUUCAACCUGUUUCUCAUAGAAAACCUACUGUUAUCUCUUUUACAUUUUCUAAUAAAUUCCAUCUACAAUCAAAUGGCACAAACAACUUUUGACUUUCCCAGAUUUCCUUAUAUAUGCUUCAGUUUUCUUAUUGUUUGUUUGCAAUUUUUAGUUUUUUAGUGUUAUCUAAAUUUAUAGAUCUCAUCGGUUGUUUGCAACUUUUAGUUUUAUUGUUCUUGGGUUUUGAUUCACUGAUUUUCUUUAUGCAGAAAAAGAGCUCUGGAAAUGGUGAAUUCACAUGUGAAGAAUGAAGAUACUGAAGAACAAAAAAAAAAUCAAAUUAAACAACCGCCACAAGAAUUAGAUCAAUUGCUUGAAGCUGGGCAUACCUCCUAUUGCUAUAAUUCAGUUCUUCCCGGAGCUGUAAUCUAUAGUCGAAAACAACUGUGUUGGAGAUGGACGUGGUGGUGUCGGGUUGGGCUUUCCUGAGACUCACAGGUUUGGUGUAAAGUUUUGUCAGUCUGAUGGAAUGACCGGAUCAUCGGCGGUAAAGUCGCCACUAUGGUGGAGCCGUUGAAUAAUUGCCGAUGUCGACCACGUUCAAGGAAUUCUUAGAGAGAUAAGGAGGAUUUCCAGUUUCUUUGCUCUUGAUAGAUAUGUGAAUGGUAGUGGAUUUAGGUCGCUUGCUAGCCGACAAGUGGAAAGCUUGAUUUCAACGGACGGUCAAUGAUGCAAGCACAGGAAAAUUCUAAAACAAAGCUUCUUCAUUUUAUGCUCCUGCUUCAGUUGGCUGCGUUUAGAUUUCAAAAUUGGAAAAUUUUCCAAGCUUAAGUUAUCGAUGUUUUAGUAUAAUUUUGUUGGCAGGAUUCUCAGGCCACGUUGAAACCCUCUAAAAAUAGUUGAGCUAGCAACACACUACUGGGUGUUUGUUAGAGGGUAAGGAUCUCUGUAAGAUACUGUCUAGGUAAGGUUCAUGGUUUAUUGAUUCUAUGAAUUGUCAUAUUACAUUACUGUUUCCACUGCAAGUGUAGAGUACUUCCAACAGUUCAAUACCAUAUUCUCAUAUGGUAACUAGCCAAGCGGCUCUGUAACCAUGAAAUAAAAAAGCGCCUUCUAGCUAAGGUUGUACCGGUUGCUCAGAUGGGAGUUGUUACAUGGGGGGUCAUUCCUUAUCCCUUCUUUCACAUUAAGUAGUUUCAAACGAACAGAAACACAAAACUUUUCUUCCUUUCCGGAAGAUCCUUGCAUCUGAUCCUCUCCAGCAGCUAUUUUCAUCGCUUAGCUCCCUCCAUCAUCCUAGCACAAGAGAAGCCAAAAAGGAAAAAGCAUCAAUGUCAUACAUAUAUAAAGGAAGAGAAAGAAUUAUGACUUAUGAGACAGCUCAGCCAUUGUAUAUUAUUUUCUUUUACCGGUGAGCAAGAAGAUGGGAAUCUCAUAUGUGGUAAUUUAACUACUGUAGAAAUAUUUUAUCGCAUCGAUCAAUCGUAGUUGGACAUAUUAGUUUAAGAACUUUUGGUUUAUUCCUUGUGUUUCUCUGAAAUCAGUGUGGAAAAAUGUCUACUUAGGUCAUUUUCACCUUUUCAGAUUAUUCAUUAUUUUGUAUUAUGUUGUUGAAUAAUGUCAUUAUAUAACGAUAAUGCUUUGUAUUAUUUUCCUGAA